UCAAAACAACAUUGAAAAACAACAUAACUGACAGGUUGUCUAUCCAUUUAUCAGUUCAUCCAACUAUCCAUCCAUCCAUUCAUCAUCUAACAAGCCAUCAAUCCAUCAAAUAUCCAUCGAUCAAUCUAUUUAUCAAUCCAUCUAUCAAUCUGUUUGUCGCUUCAUCCACCCAUCCGUCCAUCCAUUAUUUAUCCAUCCAACCAAAUAUCCAUCCACACAUCCGUCCAUCCAUUAUUUAUCCAUCCAACCAACUAUCCAUCCACACAUCCAUCCAUCCAUCCAUCCAUCCAUCUAUCCAUCUAUCAAUCCAUCCAUCCAUAAUUUAUCCAACCACCCAUCCAUCCAUCCAUCCAUCAUCCAUCCAUCCAUUAUUUAUCCAACCACCCAACUAUCCAUCCAUCCAUCCAUUAUUUAUCCAUCUAUCAAUCCAUCCAUCCAUCCAUCCAUCCAUCAAAUAUCCACCCAUCCAAUCAUCUAUCUAUCUGCCUGUCAGUUCCUUCAUCCAUCCAUCCAUCCAUCCAUCAAUCUUUUUUCCAUCCAUCCAUCUACCUAUCUGUCUGUCAGUUCAUCCAUCCAUCCAUCCAUCCAUCCUAAUUCAUGGAAUCAAAAAUCAGAAUAAAUCAAAAGUUCCUCAUUGGAGCUUUUAGACAAAAUUACACAUGAUUUAUAAAUCUCUUUUCAAAACACCUUUACAGUCUUGAACGCUGCACUUUAAAAUGAAGAAAUUGAGUUAUGGAUGUUCAUGUAGCCUAUUUAGAAAGUGUAAUCAGAUUGAUGACCUGUAACCGUGGUUACAUAAAGUCCCUGUUAUCACAGAGUAAAGGGAGUCUGUUCUAGAGCUGACAGAUGAAUGUGAUCCCUCCACCGUGAUAAAGUGAGCUCCAUUCAGCUGUGAGAGUGACUUCAGAGUUCACUCCAAAGCUCUGUGGAAGUGGGAGGGACUGAAAGGAGACGGGGCCAGCUACAGGAAUAAGUCUGGGCUGCCUUACAAAGCUAACAUCGCCCCCGUCUGGGCAUUCAGAGAAGGACAAGAACAUGGAGCUUCAUAUUUCAUAUUAAAAAAAACACCUUCUUUUAUUAGAAUCAGUCCUGAACAAAGACUCAAAUUAAUCCAAUUUAAGUUCUGCUACAGAGGGACAGUCCUGCAACACUUUUCUUUUUAGUCUCCAUCCACUGGAGAGCUGCCUGUUUUAGAUCGCAUUACUCAGAUGACACUUAAAUGAAUACAACAACAUAACUCUCUCUCAAUGCAGAAACUGCUGACAUCUAUAAUUUAACAGAGAUUGGAUGUUUCCCUCCUUCACUGGCUCUCCCUGCACCUUCACACCUGCACUGAAUCACUGCAAUCACCAGCAGCUCUGAAACCCCCCUGAGAUGCCUCUCCGGUGCCGAUGAUGAAACUCUACUCCUUUCAGACAUUUGUGACAGCAGCAGCAGCAGCAGCAGCAGCUGUGGUGUGCUUGAUAAUGACAUUCAGUCUGUUUAAGAAGUGUGGUGAAAUCAUGUCCGAGAAGUGUGAUGUUCCUAUCCUCCGUCUUUGACAGCAGAGACAUUUCAUUGAACCAGUUAAACUCUUUUGGAAGAAAACCGACAACUGUAUGUUUUAGAUGAGAUCUGCAUCGGGUUUGUUUGCCCUGAAGUAAAAUAUGCUGGUGUGCCUGACUGUGCAGCUCUGGGGGUCCACCACCUGAAUAAACAGUGUCAGUGUGGAGGAGAAAGUGAUGCAGAGACAUGAGGCCUCUCUGUUCCCUGCAAAAGGAGAGAAAAGCAUCAGAAAGUAACUUUUAAUCUCUUAUAUUUGAUAGACGCACACAUGUAUUCCUAAAUGCUGACCUUAUCUUUGCUGAUAUCUCUCUCGGCAAAGACAGUUCAGGUGAGUCAUUACCUGCUUUUUAAUAUAUCUCUCUGUUUUCUCUUGUUUACUCAGUGAGCUGAUUUUUCUCGUCCUUUGGUCAACUGUAUAAUUCUUUCCUCAUGCUGCUGUUUCGAACUUUGCAGGUGACUAAGAGGAAGACGCCACAGAGGAAAAAAUUGGAUCCUGACAGCAGAAAUGGAUAAGAACUUUGGCUGCAUGCACAAAUUUGCAUAAUAUUAUACAUUCAAUUUACAAUAAGGAGAAUAACUGGUAAUAUUUUAGUGAUGGAAAAACAGCUUUUUGGAUUUAUUGUGAAUUCAGGCGACAUAUUUCCAUUACAGGUUAUUUGUUAAACAUGAAGAAUAGCAGAUAGAUAUAAUUUACAGAUUUAAAUUGAAUUUAAUUAGCAGACGAACACUCCUGUAAAUGUGUUUACUAGCUUCUAACUGAUACCUCUGAACAAUGUUAUUUCAAAUGUCAUUAUUUUCUAGAAAUGUGUCAGAUUUAGGCCUGAAACAAGAGAUAAUAUGUUUAAAGGGAUAUUCUGGCGUAAAAGUAAUUUAGGGUCAAACACACCUUAACACCGAGUUAGACCCCCCCUCCAGAGAUGAAUGUUGCCGACCGCUUGCUUCUCUAGUUAUACCAACUUUAGUAACGACCGCAGGAUAGAAAUACAGAGAGCCACGCCCUCAAACAAAACGCCACUCUAUCAUUUCUUCAUGGAAAUACAAUCAGACCGAGACGCUAAGGCAGAAGAACUACCGUGUCUGCAGUGAAAAUGAUUAAUAUGAUGAUUAUUACUUCAAGGAAAUGAUAAAGAAAUGAUCAUAAAUAUUCUUCCUUGAGCUGCGUCACCCCGCCGUAGUCCAUAAUGGACUGGCCUGAGGUCUCGCUACAAAGAAGCAGCUGCUGGAAGAGAGUAGGUGAGUUGUGUUUAGUCUCUUUGCUAAAGAAAUGAGUCAAAGUUAAAAAGAUGUUUGGUGUCUAGUACUAUGGCUGGGACCCUAUAUGUCCUGUUGAUGAAGUUAGAAGGUUCAAAGGUUCAAAGGUUCAAAGGUAAAUUUUGUUUGCAGGCAGGAACCCAGCCGUCCAGAUAAGACACACAUAAAAACAACAAUACAACAGUCAAGUACAAGAAAAAAAAUGCCAAUCGUUAAGAGCCAUAAAAUCACAUGUGUUAGGUGCUGUUCUGAGCAUUAUUUGUGGCUAUAGAGUGGCAUUUUGGUUGAGGUUUGUCACUAAAGUUGGUAUAACUAGAGAAGUAUGCGGUCGGCAUCAUUCAUCUAACUUAAAUUUACGCUGGAAUAUCCCUUUAGUUUGGUGAAGAAGGUGUACUUGAAUGCGUAGUUGACUUUACGUUGUUAUAGCAGGAUAGGAAACACUUUGUUGUCUAAUUUUGGCCUUCAAGAGGCAAAAUUUUGCAUAAUUUGUCCAUCGGAGGCCCUAAAAUAACACAACAUAAAGUGUAGGCCUUGAUCAGCCACUGCACAGCCUUGAAAAUCACAGUGUAUAAAUGAUAAUAAUUUAAAAAAACAGAUCUAGUUUGUCUUUGUUUAAAGGGGGCACCGAGUCCUUUAUGGUGGAUACAUACAGGUUUUCUUUAUUAUGUACUGUACAACAUGGCCCCUACAUUGACCUGUUAUAGGGGACGCUUUCAAACUGAACAGGGAAAACUCGAGAAGUCUCCUUUUCCUUCAUCCCUGUCUCCUUCUGUAAUACUAUUGGAUGAAAACGCUCUAAGUCCCGCCUUCUGACUCCUUUCCACCAAUAGGGAACGUGAAGGAAUGAGCUCGAAACAAGGAGGAAUAGGAAAACAGUUGGAAUUGGGCCUGAGGCUUCGGUACGUUUAUUAGCUCAGUUAAGCUAAAACUGUUUGACCGGAUUGCUUUUUCAAAAUAAGUCUAUUGUUAGAAUCGCGUUAGCGGAACAUAUAAGAUUUCCUUUUAUUUUAUUUGUGUUAGAGAUAAACCUAACAUAAGACUCAUAUUAGGCUAAAAUAUCCAUAAAAAGUGUAGUUUUAGAUGUCUCUCGUGGGUUAUCUCCAGCGUUCA
rnacentral:lncRNA from 1 species